ACAGGGGUAGCUUGCUACCCGCUGACGAGCGGCGGACGGGUGAGUAAUGCAUAGGAAUCUGCCCGAUAGUGGGGGAUAACCUGGGGAAACCCAGGCUAAUACCGCAUACGUCCUACGGGAGAAAGGGGGCUUCGGCUCUCGCUAUUGGAUGAGCCUAUGUCGGAUUAGCUAGUUGGUGAGGUAAUGGCUCACCAAGGCAACGAUCCGUAGCUGGUCUGAGAGGAUGAUCAGCCACAUCGGGACUGAGACACGGCCCGAACUCCUACGGGAGGCAGCAGUGGGGAAUAUUGGACAAUGGGCGAAAGCCUGAUCCAGCCAUGCCGCGUGUGUGAAGAAGGCCCUCGGGUUGUAAAGCACUUUCAGCGAGGAAGAACGCCUAGUGGUUAAUACCCACUAGGAAAGACAUCACUCGCAGAAGAAGCACCGGCUAACUCCGUGCCAGCAGCCGCGGUAAUACGGAGGGUGCAAGCGUUAAUCGGAAUUACUGGGCGUAAAGCGCGCGUAGGUGGCUUGAUAAGCCGGUUGUGAAAGCCCCGGGCUCAACCUGGGAACGGCAUCCGGAACUGUCAAGCUAGAGUGCAGGAGAGGAAGGUAGAAUUC
rnacentral:rRNA from 1 species